UCCAGACUCCUACGGGAGGCAGCAGUGGGGAAUAUUGCACAAUGGGGGGAACCCUGAUGCAGCGACGCCGCGUGGGUGAAGGAGUACUUCGGUACGUAAAGCCCUAUCAGCAGGAAAGAAAAUGACGGUACCUGACUAAGAAGCCCCGGCUAACUACGUGCCAGCAGCCGCGGUAAUACGUAGGGGGCAAGCGUUAUCCGGAUUUACUGGGUGUAAAGGGAGCGUAGACGGCAGUGCAAGUCCGGAGUGAAAGCCCGGGGCUCAACCCUGGGACUGCUCUGGAAACUGUAAAGCUGGAGUGCGGGAGGGGCAGGCGGAAUUCCUGGUGUAGCGGUGAAAUACGUAGAUAUCAGGAGGAACACCGGCGGCGAAGGCGGCCUGCUGGACCGUAACUGACGUUGAGGCUCGAAAGCGUGGGGAGCAAACAGGAUUAGAUACCCCUGUA
rnacentral:rRNA from 1 species